GACGAACCGUGCGAACGUUGUUCGGAAUCACUGGGCAUAAAGGGCGCGUAGGCGGCUCGCGAGGUCGGGGGUGAAAUCCCACAGCUUAACUGUGGAAGUGCCUUCGAUACCGGCGGGCUGGAGUGUGGUAGGGGAGAUCGGAAUUCCUGGUGUAGCGGUGAAAUGCGCAGAUAUCAGGAGGAACACCGGUGGCGAAGGCGGAUCUCUGGGCCAUUACUGACGCUGAGGAGCGAAAGCGUGGGGAGCAAACAGG
rnacentral:rRNA from 1 species